rnacentral:lncRNA from 1 species
GGUAAUUGUGUAAUGGAUAUUUUCGACUGUAAACGGCGAAUUAAUCUAUAACUGGAAAGAAUGACAUGAGAUUGUGGCAGCGAUGAAAACAAAAGGAUACCUCCGGUUAUGGACUGCAAACACACUGUAGGCCACGUGUUUGAGUGCGGAAAAGAAAAUUCGAGAAGGAAAUUGGAAGUACCAAUAGAUGAAAGGAUCAAGAUGGAUAUCAUAUUUGAAAAUUUACAGUGGUCUUCACGCUAUGGUCUUAAGUUUCAAUCGUAGGGAAGGUAUUAUUACUUGAUAACCUGUACGUCAAGUUAUGAGACAUGGGCAAAAUUAAGCAAUAUCUAUGAGAAGGAUACAAAACAGCAAAACAUCAUAUAGUAACCCACACUGCGUGGCUGACAGGGGAGGAAUUUUAGUAUCAACCUUACAUCGAGUUAUGAGAUAUGGAGGAAUUCUUCCUGUAUAAACAUAAGUUGGAAUAUGAUAUUGUAACCCACAUUGCGUAUCAAACAGAUAAGUUUUCAAAUUACAUGCAUUAGGGAGUAAGAUAGAAAAAACAAUGCUUAUAACUAAAAUCUUAUGUAUGUUUCUAGAUUGUGUAUUUGCAAAUGGCUGGGAGUUAACACAGAAAGAAGAAAAGGAAAUAGAUAAUCUCAAAAUUGAACAGAUUGUCAAGGAAGCAAGGGGAAACGCAGAUCUCUAGCCUUCAAACCUCAGGAGAAGUGGGGUUUCAAGUGCAACUCAACUAAAUAUUUUGCAAGAUUAGGAAGAAAACACGAAACUUAAGAAGUGUACUCUCUCUGUGUUACAUGUAAGAAGUCUAAUUAUUUGGAAAAAUCAUUUAAAUUGUUAUUUUAAAAGCAUGAUGGAAAGAAAAAGACAUCAAGAUAAAAGAAAAUCUGCUUCUUGGUAAAGAGCGAUGGAACAGACUAAUGGAUUUUGGACUUGAGACCAAUGAACCAUAUGGUUAAUAAACUAGAAUAUUUUGAAAAAUAGGAAGGAAUAAGAAUGGAAAUUGGAUCAGCAUAGAGAAAUAUUUCCAUGGAAACUAAAGUGAAAUUUAGAACACGUCAGAUUGUUGUAUGCCUGAAUAUGGUUUGUAUAUUCUACACUUGAGACAGAAUUUAUUGUCAAUAAAUUUGAUAGCUCGAGAUGAUAGUGAGAGAGAAACGAGGAGCUGGUAGACUAGCAGUUAUUCAAGAAAGCAUUGACAAUGAAAUUAACAAAAAGAGUACUAAAGGUAGGAAGUAGAGAAUACAGGAUACUUUCUCUAUACAAAACAAUUGAGGACACCAUUUGGAGAGAUGAGAACACGGGCAAAAAUCAGCUUGAAAUUAUACAUUCUGCUAUAUGUGGGCCUAGAGAGCUAGAGAUGUGGAACGGAAAUAAAUAUGCAAUGACAGCCUUAGAUUUUACUAAUUUCGUGAUGAUAUAUUUUAUGCAAUCAUAUACUGAAGCAUUACAGAGAUUGUUUAAUUAUGUUGCAGCAGCAAGAGCAAAGUGGAAUAACGCAUAGACUUAGAUGCUAUAAUAGAAGGAAGUGUGUUUAUCAGUCUAGAAUACAAAAAUUGAUGCAGACAGAAAGUAAUUAUACUAGAUUAUAGGACACUGUAUACACCUCAACUGAAUGGAAAGACUUAAUCGAACAUUAUUAGACAAGAUACGAGCACGCCUGUACAACUGAAAUGGGAAAGAAAUUGUGCAUGAAAGCUGCGUAUUUUGCAACUUAUUUACAGAAUAAAAGUUCUUCAACAGCAAUGAAUAUAACUGCAUAUAAAAAGAAAGUAAACUCCGCAAGAAGUACGCA